UUACCUAGUGUUAUAUAAAUAAUUUGGGAUUGUUGUUAGUUCUAUAUUUAGGUAUUGGACUUGUACAUUUGUUUUAAGUUUGUAUUGGACUUGUACAUGUUUUAAUGUGAUUUGUAUUGGACUUGUACAUUUGUUUUAACUUUGCAUU